UACGUAGGCAGCAAGCGUUGUUCGGAGUUACUGGGCGUAAAGGGUGUGUAGGCGGCUUUUUAAGUUUGGUGUGAAAUCUCCCGGCUCAACUGGGAGGGUGCGCCGAAUACUGAGAGGCUAGAGUGUGGGAGAGGAAAGUGGAAUUCCUGGUGUAGCGGUGAAAUGCGUAGAUAUCUGGAGGAACACCGGUGGCGAAGGCGGCAUCCUGGACCAACACUGACACUGAGGAGCGAAAGCCAGGGGAGCAAACGGG
rnacentral:rRNA from 1 species